GUUCUCCGGCACAGCUGGUCAGUGGAGCGGCCUGAUUGCUCCCGCUCGGACGAGGUCCUUGCUGAGCGGGCUGCAUUGGCGGGGAGGAGAAAGCAGCGCUGCUGGGGGAGGGGAGGAGGCUCCUCCACGAAGGCGGCUGUCCCAAGCUGCCCCCCUUUUGAAUGCCGUGUAUUUCCUUAACACCCCCCGCCCCGCACACACACAAAACCCGAGGGGAGAGUCUCCCAUUCGCUCACUGAAAGGCAGAACGAUCUCCUGCCUUGCAAGAGGAGGGAAGGACUUUGAAAGGCAUCUCCCGCCUGGGAGGCUUCCUCUCCGACAGCCAGGCUUGGCUGGGCUGCUCUGCCCGGCCCGCCCCCGAGGGGAGCAGUGGCAGGAGCCCCGCAGGCGGGCGGCGGGGGCUGGCUGGAGCGGGGCGGGCUCCUGCUCGGGAAGGCAGCGCCCCGCAGACCGCGCCGCAACUCGCCUCCCCUCCCCUCGGGUGGCAGCAGCAGCAGGAGCGGCGGCGGCGGCAGCGCCCGCUUCUCACCCCCGGCCGGGCUGGGGCUCGCCGCCCUCUCUCUUGGGACACGCGGACAAGCCGAGUGUCCAAUAAUGCAAUGGCUGGAGGACAAGAGAGCAUCAGAGUAAUUGGGUGGACAUGUUGGAUAUUAAUGGUAAUUCUGAUGGUGUGGAGUCACCAGACCAGUGGACAAGGGCAAGAUUUUUCAAAUUCUCAAAUAAAAGAACCUCAUCUCCUGUUACAAGAGGAGGGACAAUAUGGCAGUUUUCGUUUUAGCUUUGCAGGUCAAGUGAAGACUAUUGAUUUUGUAAACCUCUCCAGUUGAGCGAAAGCUGAACUUUUUCACCAGAGUUCCAAUCUCUGGGUUCACUUCCAAGGAAGUGGAGUGCACACAGCAGAGCCCUGUACCCUCAUAGAGUCUCAUUUAAGUCAAAGGGGCUCCAUGGAGGUGCACACGGUUUCCUGCAGACUUCCUGUAUUUUCCUGCAAGAUCAAGGUCUUAAUUGGUCCCAUUUCACAUCUUCAUACACUCUACUUUGCCUGAAAUGUCUGUCCACAUAUUAAAAACUCCUUAACCAAAGUUAUAUUUGUAAACCUGAGAAAAUUUUUAAAUCGGGAAUAUAAGGAAUUAAUUACAGGAAAAUAAAUGUGGAUAAAGGAGAUUUGGAACAGUUAUGAAGUAUCACCAACAUUAAAGAAUUAGUAGGCAAAAACAAACUCUCCUAAUUAGGUCAACAAAUAAAACGAACACAUGGAGAUUGUCUGCUAAAUGUGGUAAGAGCAUAUAUCAGAAAUUCAAAAUGAUGAAACCUAUACACAUACCAGAGUGACUAAGAAAGAGCCACACUUGUUUUGACUUUCCCUUUCUAGUAAUAGUCAAAGACAACAAUGUUGAUGGUUAAAUAGCAUUGAUUUUAGGUGUUAACCCUUGAAAGCAUGAUCUAAAGAGUACUUACAGUACAUUGUCUCUUUUGAGAGCCAUUAUUAAAUUCCUUCAGAAAACAUCUUUGCUUAAUACCUUCAAAAAAAUUGAGAGAGAGUGAGAGGACAGGAACUUUGGACAGAUCAUUUGAUUUUGGAAAGUGAGACUCAAAAGUGCCAAUAAUAAAAAGCUAUUGGUAUUUUAGCAUUCCUGUUCAUUAAGACGGUGUCCCACAUCCAUUAUAAAAUACAGGGUUUUUUUUAGGGGUUUACACUUAGUCAUAUAUAGACUUGUUUCAGGCUGAAAUUGGGCUCAUGUUGGAAGCAGAUUUCAUGUUAUCAGUUUUCAAACACAAAUCUUUAACCUUCAAUUAGUUGAGGAUUAGAACAAAUAUUGGCAUGUAUGUAUGUGUUAAACUGAAAAAUGGCUUUUAAUUGGGUGGAGGGAGCCACACAAUUCAGCAACAGCAGCAAAAUCUUUUUUAAAAGCAUUUUUUUCUCCCCCAGCCUUUGCUCUUGAGAUCACAGUGAAAAGAAACUAAAAACUGAAAUCUUAGUUUGGGCUGAACCUCAAUCAUUUUACGCUCACUUUUCAGAGGUACUGAGCACCUGCAGCCUCUGUUGACUUCAGUCAGGUUUGUGAAUGCUCAAAAUAAUUAUUCUCAAUACUCCUCAAAACAGUGUUCUUAAAAUGACUGUGUGAAGCUCUAACUCCUUUAGAGCUCCUGUUUCCUCUGAGUGUCAGGGAGUUGUGUUUGGACUUUCCUUGAGGCUUAGUCUAUGUGCAGUUUUUGUCCUGAUAUAACUAAGCUGAUUAAGAGUGAUUUUUUUAAAGUAACAUAUUUACACCAGCACAGCCCCUAUUUUGGGUGCAGUUAUAGAACUCUAAAGGUGCCUUACACCAGUAUGUCUUACUUCCUUUUCUGUACAUGAAGAAGCUGUAUGAGAAUAAGCAUAUUGUAUGUGAAGGUUGUGCUGCCUUAACUGUACCAGUAGAGUGGCAUAAUUUCCUUGUUUAGCCAAGGCCAAUGUGCUUGACUGUAUUUUCAGUUCCCAUCCCUGUGAACCUCUGAGAACUGUGAGUAAGAACUACUCCUUGGUUACUGGUGAUUAAGGAAGUGCUCUUCACCUUGUCCCAGACUUCAUAUUUAAAAAGAAAUGAUGGUCCAUAUUAGCAGCAACUACUGUAAAUGCUGUUUUUAUAAAUCUAAAUCCCUCUGACCCACAUAUAAUCCAACCUUUAGCUGGAGAAAGUUGACUUUUGUGUGUAAGUAACUUUGCUUAUGAUAUAUUGAAAUCUAAUAAUUCCAUAUUAGAAGGUU